rnacentral:rRNA from 1 species
UACACACCGCCCGUCACACCAUGGGAGUUGGCUUUACCUGAAGACGGUGCGCUAACCGCAAGGAGGGCAGCCGGCCACGGUAGGGUCAGCGACUGGGGUG